rnacentral:tRNA from 1 species
UAUUCUGUGGCUAAGUUGGUUAAAGCACCAGUUUAGUGAACACGGAGUCGUUAGUUCGAAUCCAACCAGGAUGC